CCUGGGCGGGGCACUGUCCUUUUCUGUUUGCAGAUACUGGAGGUUGGAAACGGGCCUGGGGACAGGAGGGUCAGGGCAGGCCAGGGCCAAGGGCUCGGAUGAUGCAGUCAGGCUGUGAGGCUGAGCCAGGGGCUCGUGGGGAGCUGGCUUCCCGGGCUUCUCCCCACCCUGGCACGAGUAGCUGGAGCCAGAACGAGGUGCAGUGCAUGGAGGUAACCCUGAGGCCACUCAGUCCCUGGACCUGGCCGGAUCCCUGAAUCCGUCUUGACCCCAUGGCCCCUGAGUAUCAGAGAUGCCCAGGAGCCCCGAGUCUGCAUGACAAGUGCUGCUGUGAGCCCCAUCUCCCCCGUCUCUGCCUCCUUGGACCCCUCUGUUCUCGCUGCUGCACAGGUCCUCUGAGUCCUGAGCCUGACGUAGUCAGGCCCUCCAGAGACGUUCAGGACCUCGGACAGCGCCCCACAUUCCCCCAUUCUGGAACUGGCGCUCACCAGAUCUCACCAGGCGCCUCCUGCCACUGUCCCCUCCCCAGAACCCCGAGGAGGCCGACCCUCUCUGCGGGCAGUGGGCCUUCUUCCGAAAUGUCUCAGCCCUACCCGGCCUUUGCAGUGAGAGUAUAAGGGCAGGGGAAGGCUUCUCCUCUUGGGUGCCCUGAGGGAGAAUAAGCCCGGGAGGGUGGGGGGCAGGGACGGGCCACCAGGCCUCAGUGGUGUCCCUGGCCACACGGCGGAGCUGGGACCUGCUGCGGACUCUCCUCUCUAAUAUCCCCGACCACCCCCUCCCUGAAGCCUGGUGCUGGUUCCUCCCUCUGGGUCAUCCCGGCCUCCCCUGCAGCCCCAGCAGCCCAGCCGAGGCCGAGCUUUCUCAGCGAGCCUGAGUCUUCAAGUGUGGACAUGGCUUCAGAUGACUGGACCUCACAGGUGCCCCCAUAGGUCCUCAGCUGAGACCUCUGAGGCCAUCACGUAGGGGAGGCAGCUCAGGCAUCCGGAGCAGGGAAAAUAACGUCCCCUCAACUCGUGGGAGUCGAUAUUAAAA
rnacentral:lncRNA from 1 species